rnacentral:rRNA from 1 species
AUAAACGCUGGCGACGCACAUAAGACAUGCAAGUCGAACGAACUUAACCAUUAGUUUACUAUUGGAGCGGUUAGUGGCGGACUGGUGAGUAACACGUAAGCAACCUGCCUGUUAGAGGGGAACAACAGUUAGAAAUGACUGCUAAUACCGCAUAUGCCAUAGUAAGGACAUCCUUACAGUGGGAAAGGAGUAAUCCGCUAACAGAUGGGCUUGCGUCUGAUUAGAUAGUUGGUGGGGUAACGGCCUACCAAGUCAACGAUCAGUAGCCGGACUGAGAGGUUGAACGGCCACAUUGGGACUGAGAUACGGCCCAGACUCCUACGGGAGGCAGCAGUCGGGAAUAUUGCGCAAUGGAGGAAACUCUGACGCAGUGACGCCGCGUGCAGGAAGAAGGUUUUCGGAUUGUAAACUGCUUUAGACAGGGAAGAAAAAAGACAGUACCUGUAGAAUAAGCUCCGGCUAACUACGUGCCAGCAGCCGCGGUAAUACGUAGGGAGCAAGCGUUAUCCGGAUUUAUUGGGUGUAAAGGGUGCGUAGACGGGAAAAUAAGUUAGUUGUGAAAUCCCUCGGCUUAACUGAGGAACUGCAACUAAAACUGUUUUUCUUGAGUGCUGGAGAGGAAAGUGGAAUUCCUAGUGUAGCGGUGAAAUGCGUAGAUAUUAGGAGGAACACCAGUGGCGAAGGCGACUUUCUGGACAGUAACUGACGUUGAGGCACGAAAGUGUGGGGAGCAAACAGGAUUAGAUACCCUGGUAGUCCACACCGUAAACGAUGGAUACUAGGUGUAGGGGAUGAAUAAUCUUCUGUGCCGUCGCAAACGCAGUAAGUAUCCCACCUGGGGAGUACGGCCGCAAGGUUGAAACUCAAAGGAAUUGACGGGGGCCCGCACAAGCAGUGGAGUAUGUGGUUUAAUUCGACGCAACGCGAAGAACCUUACCAGGGCUUGACAUCCUACUAACGAAGUAGAGAUACAUCAGGUGCCCUUCGGGGAAAGUAGAGACAGGUGGUGCAUGGUUGUCGUCAGCUCGUGUCGUGAGAUGUUGGGUUAAGUCCCGCAACGAGCGCAACCCCUAUUCUUAGUUGCCAGCACGUUAAGGUGGGAACUCUAAGAAGACUGCCGGUGAUAAAUCGGAGGAAGGUGGGGACGACGUCAAAUCAUCAUGCCCUUUAUGUCCUGGGCUACACACGUACUACAAUGGCUGUAACAGAGGGAAGCGAAACCGCGAGGUGGAGCAAAACCCAAAAAAGCAGUCUCAGUUCGGAUUGAAGGCUGAAAUUCGCCUUCAUGAAGCCGGAAUUGCUAGUAAUGGCAGGUCAGCAUACUGCCGUGAAUACGUUCCCGGGCCUUGUACACACCGCCCGUCACACCAUGAGAGUUGGGAAUACCCGAAGCCUGUGAGCUAACUGUAAAGAGGCAGCAGUCGAAGGUAGAAUCAAUGAUUGGGGUG